AAUCUUUUUAAUGAUACAACCCUAAAGCAGAAUUCUUCUUUUCUUUUUGUCCAUCUCAGAAAAAAUACCAAAAAGAGUAAUCUUCAAGAUUCUAUCAAUUUGUAACAGACUCAAAUUGAAUCACGAGUUACGCGAAAAAGUAAUGAAUUUUUUUAGCUCAAAUCUCAAUAUUCUACUAUUACAAUUUACUGAAUUGAAGUAAGAGGAAAGACUAGAAGAAUCAGUCGAGCUCAAAUGACGAGCUCAAAGAAUCCCUUUCUACUUUCCUAAUCUUGAGCUCAAUCACUUUCCCUUUUAUUAACCCUAAUUCACUUUCUUCAUCAGUCAUCGAACAUCACCAGAUCAUUGCACUACUCUCCCCCUAAAUUGAAGACUAACCUUGUCUUCAAGGUCAAUUCUGAGCAAUAAAAUUGGAAAAUUGGCUCCUAAUAUAGCCCCAAUCUUCCCAUGCUGCCUCGUCCGGGCUUAAGUUAGCCUACUGAACCAAAAUUUUAAUGCGAGCUAUAUUGUUUACUCUUUCGAUCCUUUAUAACAAGAUGGCUAUAGGCUGGACCAGGAAUUGACUAUCCGCAUCACACGAAGGUGAAAACUGUUGUGGAAUCAUUGCAGGAUAAACAUGUUUCUUGAGCUGCGUAACAUGAAACACGGGGUGGAUCUAAGAGCCAAGUGGAAGAUCUAAACAUGACAGGAGAUAGUUGAAACAAGUUGAAGAAACAAAACAAGCAUUGCACCAGGUAUUCAAGAUGAAAGACUUGGGAGAGCUAAAGUAUUUUCUUGGAACAGAGUUUGUUAGAUUUAAAGAAGGCAUUCUAAUGAGUCAGAGAAAGUAUAUUCACUUGAGCUUAUAUUUGAGCUAGACUUGCAGGAGCUAAACCAUCUACUACUUCUAUAGAUAUCAAUGUCAAGUGGACAACUAGAGUAUAUGAUGAGUAUACCAACACAAGAAAAGAUCUGUUACUGGCUGAUGUCAACUCUUAUCAGAAAUUAAUAGGAAAACUUCGGUCCCUCACUAUCAGUAGACCUGAUAUCACAUAUAGUGUUCAACCACUAAGCCAAUAUCUUCAAUAGCCAAAGAAAUCCACAUGAAGUCAUUUUUGAGAGUUAUGAGACACAUCAAGUCACAGCUUGGACAAGGCAUUCUCAUGUCUAGUAAUCCUAUUCAACAAAUGACUGCCUACUAUGAUGCUGACUGGGUAGCAUAUCCACAUACAUUAAGUUUUGUUACAGGUUUCCUAAUCAAACUACGGAAUUCAUUAGUAUCAUGGAAGUCCAAGAAAUAAAAUGCUAUUUUCAGAAGUCCUGCUGAAGUAGAAAAUAAAAUAAAAGCCAAGCUUUAACUCUUCUAGAACUUACUUGGUUGUUAGGACUAUUAACAGAAUUGGAUCUUAAAGUUAAACUACUUGUGAAUGUAUUCAGUGAUAGCAAAUCGGCAUUACAAACUGGUUGAUUCAUGCACAAGUUCAAGUAGUUAGUUUUACACGGUUUUCAAGAAGUUAGUUAUGACAGUUAGUUACAGGUAGUUAGUUACAAUCAGUCAAGUGAGUUAGCUCAUAUAAGGUGAUGUAUUAGUCAUUGUAACACAUAUUAUUGAAUGAUCAAUAACACUUCAUCUCUUUACUGUUUA